ACGGUCGUGGUGUAACGGCAGCACACAAGGCUUUGAACCUUGGGGCGGUGGCUCGACACCACCCGACUGUGCCA
rnacentral:tRNA from 1 species